rnacentral:rRNA from 1 species
GCAAGAUUUAAGCCUUGUACCUUUUGCAUCAUGAUUUAGCCAGCACACCCAAGCAAAGAGCCCUUUAGUUUGACCCCCCGAAACUGGGUGAGCUACUCCAAGACAGCCUAAUAAGAAGGGCAAACCCGUCUCUGUGGCAAAAGAGUGGGAAGAGCUUCGAGUAGGGGUGACAGACCUAUCGAACCCAGUUAUAGCUGGUUGCCCGGGAAUUGGAUUUAAGUUCAGCUUGUUCAGCUUCUCCUUAAACUGACAUAGUUAGUCGAAGGGGGUACAGCCCCUUCGAAACAGGACACAACCUUUUAAGGAGGAUAAAGAUCAUACUCAAUAAGGAUAAAUGUUUUAGUGGGCCUAAGAGCAGCCACCCUAUCAAAAAGCGUUAAAGCUUGAACAUGGAUCCCGAUAAGACCCUCUUAAUCCCCUUUGUAGUACCGAGCCGUCCUAUGCCUCCAUAGGAGAGACUAUGCUAAUAUGAGUAAUAAGAGAGGACUCUCUCCUCGCACACCUGUAUAUCGGAAUGGACAAACCACCGAACCUUAACGGCCCCCAUUAAAGAGGGUAGUGUGCUAAAUCAAGAAAACCUCACACCGUUACCCCCACACUGGCGUGCCCCCUAGGAAAGACUAAAAGAAGAAGAAGGAACUCGGCAAACAAGCCUCGCCUGUUUACCAAAAACAUCGCCUCUUGCAUGUAUAAGAGGUCCCGCCUGCCCAGUGACACUCAGUUCAACGGCCGCGGUAUUUUGACCGUGCUAAGGUAGCGUAAUCACUUGUCUUUUAAAUGAAGACCUGUAUGAAUGGCAUAACGAGGGCUUAACUGUCUCCUUCUUCCAGUCAAUGAAAUUGAUUUCCCCGUGCAGAAGCGGGGAUUCCUCCAUAAGACGAGAAGACCCUAUGAAGCUUUAGGUACAAAGGCAGCCCCUGUCCAUCACCCCUAAUAAAGGACUAAACCUUAAGGAGCCUGCUCUAUUACCUUCGGUUGGGGCGACCCUGGGGUACGACAAAACCCCCAUGCGGAAUGGGAGCACUCCUACAAACCUGAGCAACAACUCCAGUUAACAGAAAUUCUGACCCCCUCGAUCCGGCACUGCCGAUUAACGAACCAAGUUACUCUAGGGAUAACAGCGCAAUCCUCUUUUAGAGCCCAUAUCGACAAGGGGGUUUACGACCUCGAUGUUGGAUCAGGACAUCCUAAUGGUGCAG